rnacentral:tRNA from 1 species
UAGGCAGAAGCCUGUUGGUUUGGGCAUCUAGCUGUUAAUUAGAGUUUUACGGGAUCAAAGCCCGUCUGUCUAG